rnacentral:rRNA from 1 species
UCAAGCUAGAAAGAGCGCAAGGGGAAUGCCUUGGCAUCAGGAGCCGACGAAGGACGUGACAAGCUGCGAUAAGCUGCGGUGAGCUGCACAUAAGCUUUGACCCGCAGAUUUCCGAAUGGGGAAACCCGGCAGAGCAAUACUCUGUCAGCGUGCGUUGAAUCAAAUAGGCGUACGCGGGGAACCGCCUGAACUGAAACAUCUAAGUAGGGCGAGGAAGAGAAAUCAACCGAGAUUCCGCUAGUAGUGGCGAGCGAACGCGGAAGAGGCCAAACCAAGAGUAGUAAUACUUUUGGGGUUUUGGACAGCGUACGGUAUUAACUGCGGUUAGUAGAAUGAAAUGGGAAGUUCAACCACAGAGCGUGAUAGUCGCGUACACGAAAACUAAGGUUAGCCAGCUGGAUCCAGAGUACCGCCGGACACGUGAAACCCGGUGGGAAGACGGGGGGACCACCCUCCAAGCCUAAAUACUCUCCAAUGACCGAUAGUGUAUAGUACUGUGAAGGAAAGGUGAAAAGAACCCCUGGCGGGGAGUGAAAUAGAACCUGAAACCUUGUGCCUACAAGCACAUAGAGCGCGUCAAUGCGUGAUAUGGUACCUUUUGUAGAAUGGUCCGGCGAGUGAAUGUCACUGGCAAGGUUAAGCUCUUCAGGAGUGCAGCCGAAGCGAAAGCGAGUCUGAAAUGGGCGUAUUUAGUCAGUGGUAUUCGACCCGAAACCGGGUGACCUAGCCAUGAGCAGGCUGAAGUGGAGGUAAAACUCCAUGGAGGGCCGAACCCACUCCCGUUGAAAUGGUAGGGGAUGACUUGUGGCUAGCGGAGAAAUUCCAAUCGAACCCGGAGAUAGCUGGUUCUCUCCGAAAUAGCUUUAGGGCUAGCCUCAAUUAACAUUACCGCAGGUAAAGCACUGAAUGAGCUAGGGGGCGAAAGCUUACUGAACUCUAUCAAACUCAGAAUGGCGGAUAAUGAAUGAUUGGGAGUCACACUACGUGAGAUAAGUUUCGUGGUGGAAAGGGAAACAGCCCAGACCCACAGCUAAGGUCCCAAAGUACAGUUAAGUGGAAAAGGAUGUGAAAUUGCGCAGACAACCAGGAUGUUGGCUCAGAAGCAGCCACUCAUUCAAAGAGUGCGUAAUAGCUCACUGGUCGAGUGAUUUUGCGCCGAAAAUUUAACGGGGCUAAACUGUACACCGAAGCUUGGGAAUAUACAUUUGUAUGUUGGUAGGAGAGCGUUGUGUAAGGGGUGAAGUCGUAGCGAAAGCGGCGGUGGACUUUACACAAGUGAGAAUGCCGGAAUGAGUAGCGAGAAUUAUGUGAGAAUCAUAAUGGCCGAAAGACUAAGGUUUUAGAAGGAAGGUUCGUCCGCUUCUAGUUAGCCGGGAGCUAAGGCGAGGCCGAGAGGCGUAGUCGAUGCACAUACGGUUGAGAUUCCGUAGCUACCUUGCAUUUAAGCGAAGGGACACAUUUGAAGGGCAUGACCCGGGCGUUGGUUGACCCGGGCGUAAGGGACCGAAAAUAAGUAGGGAAGCAUGCUUGGAUGGUGGCGAGAAAAGCUUCGUGUAUAUAAGCAGGGUACCCGUACUGCAAACCGACACAGGUAGUCAGGAAGAGGAUUCUAAGGCCAUCGGGAGAAGCGUUGUUAAGGAACUCGGCAAAUUGACCCCGUAACUUCGGAAUAAGGGGUGCUCACGCGAGUGAGCCGCAGUGAAUAGGUCCAGGCAACUGUUUAUCAAAAACACAGCUCUCUGCUAAAUCGUAAGAUGACGUAUAGGGGGUGACACCUGCCCGGUGCUGGAAGGUUAAGAGGAGGGGUGCAAGCUCCGAAUUGAAGCCCCAGUAAACGGCGGCCGUAACUAUAACGGUCCUAAGGUAGCGAAAUUCCUUGUCGGGUA